GGGCGCACUACUUUAUUUUGCUAGUGUUUGACGUGGCGUCGUCCUGCAACCGGAGAAGUGCGCGCGCUUUCCGCGAUCAGCGUAACCUCUUAUCUCACGCGUCAGUUAUCGCUGACUGCCAAAGUUUUUGCGUCGUGUCGGCCUGUCGUUUUGUGGUCUCUGUUUUGGAUGUCAGUGUGAAUAGUGCGGUUUUUGUUUUGAUUCAGUUUGCGUGUUCACUGCCGUUUAUUACUACGCGAGUGUGAUUGACGAGGCAAGAUUAGCAAUUCUUCAGACUUGGAGGACGAAAGGCAGCCGACACGCCGGAACAAGACGAGGAGCGCCGGGACCCGCGAUGCCGCCAUGACAGGGCAGUGGCCGCCCAGGAGCAGGGGUCGCAGGAACAACGUCUGCUGGUAAGCGAUACUUGAUCCGCUCUGCUGAAAAAAUUCACCGUGCUACAGUAUGGGUACGUAAAAGUUCUCCUUAUAGUGCAAUUGUUUCAGUUCACAUUCUGAGGC